CUGGUCAAAUCUUUUCGAUGCCCCUAGGCAACCAAAAAGUCACUCAUGUGACAUCAAAGAGAAAAUGCAAGAUUCAGUGUUCGGUUGUCGUCUGCUGGUUACACCACAGUGAAUCUUACUUCAGCUGAGAUGGCAGAAUAGGGAGACGGAGUGCCACUGAGAGAAAUCUGUGUUAGACUAAAACAACCGAGGGUGUGGAAGACAUGUUUCCUGUUUGGUUUCCUCUGAUGCUCUGCUGACACCAUGUGAUCGCCGCGGUAACUGCAUCCACCAGUCGAUGAAGGGCCAAUAAGGUGGUCCUGUGUGUGAGAGGCUGGGAUUUGUUGCUGUGUACAGUAGAGCCCAAACAACACAUUCAUCACCGGCAGACGUCCCUGCUCCUCUCCUAGUGUGCCGAAUUGAUGAACCAUCAACACAAGUUUCAUCAUGUUCACUUUGUAUUGAUAAAGCAAUCAUGCAUGCUU